rnacentral:lncRNA from 1 species
UAAGGAGCAAUUUAUUUUAAAAAAUAAAUUAGGAUUAAUAAGAGGCAACAUCCAUACCGAAAACUAAACGGAAACGAUAAGCAAAGAAAACAACCGCCUUGCUCUCCGGGCAACACCUGCCACAUGUCAAUGCCAAAUUGUCAAUAUAAUCCCAUUUUGCUAAGCCGACAUUCUUCAGUUAUCAGCAAAAGCUAGCCAAAUUUUAUCUCAGUUCACUCUGAUUUCAACGGUCUUCGAGACAACAUAGAAGGAAAAUUUUCCGUACACGAAAAUGCCCGUGGUACAUUUUCUCGGAUAAAUCGAAGCUUCCAAGUCCCGACGUUCAGAACCUGGAAAAAGGCUGUUUUCUAUCCACAUUUGAUCCACUUUUUAAACCGGUGAGUGCGUUUCAUAUUGUCAUUAUACUUAAGCGCGUUAUGUUAUACACUGAAGUUGCCACGAACAGCAUAAACCUACCAAUGUUCGUCCAUGGUAGAACGUUUUUGGAGCCAUAUUACCUGCGCAAUUCGAGUACAUCCCAUGAACUGUUCGGCUUUUCGUUACCCGCAUUUAGUUUAUCAACAUACUAGCUACUAGCUAUAUUCUGCGACAUUGCUCUCACGAGGCAGUUAUGAAAACGCAGGUCUAGGCCCGACAGGGUGAACAUGUGUUUAAUGAAAUACUCCUAAAACAGUAUUAUACUACACUAGGUGUUAGUUGGUGUUAGGACGAUAAUUUUAUAUAUACAAUAUAUUCCCAUAUAUGACAUGUAUGUUUGUCACGUACAAGUACAAUGUCCACUUCAUCAACAAAAUACCCUGCUUCAUGAUGAAACAUUUGGCCACAGGCAUAUAAACAGAGUCGCCCUAUGUAUACUACAAUGGCCAGUCAAAUUAUGCCAGUCUGUGGCAGUCUCGCAGAAUACUGUCAUCUUAUAAUCUAACUCCUUGUGGUGAGGCAUAUUUAUGUUUUGUUUUGUUUUCCCCAUGAACCACAUUUGUAAGAUUGUACUGAUAUCAUUUGCCUGAUACCGAAGAGGUAAAUAGACUUCUAAUCUCUGUAACUCAAUUUAAGAUACAUUAAGACUGUAGCGCUAGCCAGCUACAAGACAAGCCAAUUUGAAGCAUGCAUAGCAAACAAUAUGACGCUAUACAUAAAUCUCUAUGUUAGAAUAUAUAUACAUGUACGGUACCGACUAUUGUGUCUGUGACUAGUGUAUGUCACCUAUCUAAUCAUAUAUCUCAAUCAGGAAUAAAAUUUACAAACAACCACAUAACUUCAGCCACGACACCAUACUCCAUAGAUAUCGUAUAUAUAUACACUAGAUGUCUAUGCACGACACGCGUGUAUAGAUCGUUAUCCAAGAUAUACAGAACUGUCAGAACACCAUGCACACGCAUUAUACAUACAUUAUGCCAUUACUAUACAAUAUCUUACUAUAUGGUCUACUCUCCAAACCCGAUGAAGACCCAAGAAAUCCAUUAACCAAAUACCGCCUAUACAAAAGAUUGCACAACGCAAAAUCCUGUAUAUAUGGACUAUAUAAGGUAUAAAAUUACAAACUGGCAUAAGAAAAAUUGCUAGUGAAAGAAUUUAAAGAUCGUCGGUUUCUCACUCGUUCAGGAAUGCUCAGUACAGAUUUUAAUUAACCCCACUGUAGAGGAAACAUUUCCUGCCACACUCGGUAUUUGGACGCGGCAGAGCGCAUGAAGUAUAUGCAGCUGGGUUAGACGAUUUUAUUACCGACAUUCUGCUUUCAUGGGUUUCCGCAUAUUUCUCUCUGGAAAGCUUGGAAAUGCGCGGACGAGAUUUCAAAAAUUUAAUAGUAAAUAUAUAGAAAGCAUCAAAAUUGCUUGCACGUCAUGACGUCAUAUAACUGUAAAAUACAACAUAUAUAUUCUCCUGUACAAAAACCCCAGUCUCACAAAAUAUGUCAACAGCGAUCUUCGCAUUUUAUACCACAAGCGCUAGAUAAUAAUUGAAAUACUACAGCAUGACAUCAUGAUCACCUGCAUUUGCAUAGCGUCUUACAAAACCCAGUACUGUACAUAGUAGGUACUUAUAUAGCUAGCGUACCAACUACCAAAACGAAAAGGUUUACGGCAUAUUUCACCAGAUCAAAACAAUUCCUAAUACGAUACACUGUUAUUUCAGAGGUUAUUUCCUAUUUUAUGCCAUCGCGUAUACACCCCACAUGCAAUUCGAACUAAACAUACUUCACAGUUCACUACAGUGUAUCACACACCGAGACAAAGCCAAAUUAAGGGGUAGUAGAGCACUCGCAUUCUACUACAAAUUUAUUCAUCGCGCAUUGAGACAACUAUUAUCGACCAGCUCAUGAUUAUACGACAACUAUUAUCGACCAGCUCAUGAUUAUGCACAUGCGCAGAGCAGUUUUUGCUUUUCUUCGUCUCUCUUUUAGUCAUUCUGUUACAAACGAAGGAAGGACAUGAAGAAGAUCUCAGGAUUUUCGCCAUCUUGGUUUCCGCCUUCCAUCACCUAUCUGGAUCACUCCUACGUCCUAAUGGCUAUGAACUCUUUACGUAUAUAUGAACUAUUUAUGACAUAAUCUACAUUCUAUUACCUGAACUAUAUAUGUAUUGUCUACUGUGCGGUGGCGUUUUGCUUUGGAUUGCGACAAAUUAAUUCUGAUCGUUUAGUUCCCUUAUUUAUGCUCAAAAGCGUAGUUUCAUAACAAAACAAAGAAAAAGAAAACAAACCAAAAACAAUAAAACAAAUAACGCAUGCGUUAACAGAAUAGCUUAGUGCAUGGUGUCUAGCGCGAUACUGACAUUUCUUAAUUUUGUAAAGAUAAAGCUAUGUGGGGAGCUGCUGGUGGUCUUGGCCCUACCCAGGUUUUCCUGUACUGCAGGUUUUUUCCUGGCCUCCCUGAUUAUCCAGCCGUAGCAUAAGUGUUAGUAUCUCGUGGACACCAUAUAUCUU